AUUGAACGCUGGCGGCAUGCCUUACACAUGCAAGUCGAACGGCAGCGGGGGAGAAGCUUGCUUUUCCUGCCGGCGAGUGGCGAACGGGUGAGUAAUACAUCGGAACGUGCCCUGUAGUGGGGGAUAACUAGUCGAAAGAUUAGCUAAUACCGCAUACGACCUGAGGGUGAAAGUGGGGGACCGCAAGGCCUCAUGCUAUAGGGGCGGCCGAUGUCGGAUUAGCUAGUUGGUGGGGUAAAGGCCUACCAAGGCGACGAUCAGUAGCUGGUCUGAGAGGACGAUCAGCCACACUGGGACUGAGACACGGCCCAGACUCCUACGGGAGGCAGCAGUGGGGAAUUUUGGACAAUGGGCGAAAGCCUGAUCCAGCAAUGCGGCGUGUGUGAAGAAGGCCUUCGGGUUGUAAAGCACUUUUGUCCGGAAAGAAAUGGCUCUGGUUAAUACCUGGGGUCGAUGACGGUACCGGAAGAAUAAGGACCGGCUAACUACGUGCCAGCCGCCGCCGUAA
rnacentral:rRNA from 1 species